rnacentral:misc_RNA from 1 species
GUUAAUUUACGAUGUCUAUCCAGUUACUAAACGGCGCCGUUUAUGAUAUCUAUUGUUGACGUCGCUUGCUGUAUCUGUCUCUCUAGGGUUUUGAUGUAAUAACUCACAUUCAUGGCCUGAUUUGGUCUCAUUUAGGGCUUCUUUUCAAAGGGUAAUAAUAUGAAUGGUUCUUGGUUUUUUGAUGAAAAUUUUAAUGGGGUCCCAGAUGAUUUUUUUGAUGAUGCCAUUAAAUAUUUUGAUUUUCCAUUGGAGGAUGUGGAACCGAAUGAUGUAAUAGAAGAUUGGGAGGCUAAAUUUCAACAGCUGGUGCCACCAUCAUCAAAUGUUUUGGCAGGCUUAACGGCUGGUGGUGAAAAUAGUCAUGACAUUCUGAAAGUAAAGAAAAGCUCCUCAGUUUUGUCCAAUGAAUCUUCCCAGCCAAAACAGUGGCCGGCAGCUGCUGAAGCAUCCUCUAGCAGAAGCAUUCCCCUUGAUUAUGACUCUUCAGAGGUUAAAUAUUCACAAUUAUUCUGUACCUCUAGUCCUGUUUCUGUCUUUGAAAGCAGCAGCAGCUCUAACUCAGCUGAAAAUGCAAGCAGCUCUAACUCAGCUGAAAAUGCAAAGAUCUGUCGCCCCAAAUUUGCAAUCCCAGUGAAGCGGCCUCGAAGCAAGCGCUCGCGGCCCCAGCAACGCACAUUUCGUUCCAUCAUUCCAUCAUCAUGUCCUAUGCUCCAAAACGAUAUCAUCCUUUGGGUUCCUCUGAAUCAGAAUCAGAGUCCUACCCUGAUGAGAAAGCGUCGAGCCUUGCCAAGAAAAAACAGAAGAAAAAAAAUCUGAUGAUGCUGUCUUGUACUGUAGAGAAGAAGAAACCCUCCUUGCAACAGCCAAUUGAAAUCAGAAAAUGUUCACAUUGUGAGGUGACCAGGACUCCACAAUGGAGAGAGGGGCCAAUGGGGCCAAAAACCCUUUGCAAUGCUUGUGGGGUUCGUUUUAGGUCUGGCCGUCUCUUCCCAGAGUACCGUCCUGCUGCUAGUCCAACCUUUGUUCCAUCAUUGCACUCCAACUCCCACAAAAAGGUCGUAGAGAUGAGAAACAAGGCUAGGCCAGUAAGCACUAUGGAUGCAAUCGACACAUCACUGCCAACAGCACCAGAAUCGUUGUGAUAGCCUAUUUGUUUGAUUAUUAUUUAGGAAAGUAGCUUUAUAGCUGGGAGCCGUCUGUUCUCUAUUUUCAGUUUUCUAAUCAGUCGGUUGGUUUGU